UUGAAAGCUAGCCUUCGGGUUCGCAUUGUAAUUUGUAGAGGAUGAUUUGGGGAAGCCGCCUGUCUAAGUUCCUUGGAACAGGACGUCAUAGAGGGUGAGAAUCCCGUAUGUGACAGGAAAUGGCACCCUAUGUAAAUCUCCUUCGACGAGUCGAGUUGUUUGGGAAUGCAGCUCUAAAUGGGAGGUAAAUUUCUUCUAAAGCUAAAUAUUGGCGAGAGACCGAUAGCGCACAAGUAGAGUGAUCGAAAGAUGAAAAGCACUUUGGAAAGAGAGUUAAAAAGCACGUGAAAUUGUUGAAAGGGAAGCGCUUGCAAUCAGACUUGUUUAAACUGUUCGGCCGGUCUUCUGACCGGUUUACUCAGUUUGGACAGGCCAGCAUCAGUUUCGGCGGCCGGAUAAAGGCUCUGGGAAUGUGGCCUCCACUUCGGUGGAGGUGUUAUAGCCCAGGGUGUAAUACGGCCAGCCGGGACUGAGGUCCGCGCUUCGGCUAGGAUGCUGGCGUAAUGGUUGUAAGCGACCCGUCUU
rnacentral:rRNA from 1 species